GUACGACAAGCAGCAGCGCGCGUUCGCGAUCGACCCGAGGGCCGUGAGCCGCGACGCGCUCGACAACGCGUUGAACGGCGUGAAGCUCGCGCGCGCGAACCUCGGCGUUCUCACGCGCCAGUACCGGUUGACGCGCGCGGGCGCGUGGGUCUACGACGUGCGCAACCAGGAGAAGCAGGCCGUCGCGCUGCGCAAGGCGGCGGAUGCGGCGGCCGCGCUCCUCGCGCGCUACACGCUGCGCGCGCCGGCCGACGGCGUCGUGCUCGCGAUGAACGCGGCGGUGGGCUCGUAUCUGUCGCCGCAGGGCAUGUACGACACGUACACGCAGGGCGCGACGCCCGCGCUCGUGCUCGGCUCGCCGGCGAAUCAUCUGCAGGUGCGCUGUUACGUCGACGAGAUCCUGAUCAGCCGGCUGCCGGCGGGCAAGAUGCCGAGCGCGCACAUGUCGGUGCGCGGCACGGCGAUGGAGGCGGAUCUCGCGUUCGUGCGCGUGCAGCCGUACGUGACGCCGAAAAUCCAGCUGUCCGACCAGCGGGCCGAGCGCGUCGACGUGCGCGUGCUGCCCGUGAUCUUUCGCGUCGUGCCGCGCAAGGAUUUGCGGCUGUUCCCCGGGCAGAUCGUCGAUGUGUACAUCGCAUCCGGCUAGCCGCCCGCGCGGGGGGCGGCCGCGCCUCGCCGCGAUCGCGCUCGGCUGCGCGGCGCUCGUCGCCGGUUGCGCGGUGGGGCCCGACUUCAUCGCGCCCGCGCGGCCUGCCGUCGAUGCGUACGUGCCGGACGGCGCCGCGCGCACGCGUUUCGCCGCGAGCGACGCGACGCAGACGCUCGCACCCGACGCGCCGUUUCCCGACGCAUGGUGGCGGCUGUUCGGCUCGCGCGAGAUCGACGCGGCCGUUGACGACGCGUUCGCGGGCAGCCCGACGCUCGCGCGCGCGCGGGCGACGCUCGCUCGCAGCGAGCACGCGCUGAUCACGGGCGCGGGCGUGUUCUAUCCGCAGGCCGACGCGCAGGCGGGCGCGUCGCGGCAGCGCUACGUGCCGUUGCGCACGGGCGCGAAUCUGCCGGCGUCGCUCUUCAAUCUGUUCACGCUGUCGACGACGGUCAGCUAUGCGCUCGACCUGUGGGGCGGCGAGCGGCGCCAUGUCGAAGGGCUCGCCGCGCAAGCCGACGCGCAGCGCCACGCGCUCGCGGCCGCGCGCCUCACGCUCGCGGCAAACGUCGUCAACACGAUGAUCGCGCGCGCCGCGUAUGCGGACGAGAUCGCGCUCACGCGCGAGCUGAUCGCGCUGACCGACGAGCAGAUCCGGCUGACGCGCGCGCAGGUGAGCGCCGGCACGAGCGCAUACACGGCCGUGCUCGCGCUCCAGGCGGCGCGCGCGUCGCUCGACGCGUCGCUGCCCGCGCUCGAGCAGAAGACCGGCGAGG
rnacentral:rRNA from 2 species